CUCCCAGCUGAACAGGGAGCCUGAUGUGGGACUCAAUCCCUGGACCCUGGGAUCAUGACCUGAGCCGGAGGCACAUUCUUAACCGACUGAGCCACCCAGGCACCCCAAAUCUUUAGAAUAAUUCUUAAAUUGAAUAGAAUAUUUGAACACAAAGCCUCUAGGCAGUGAAACAAUUAAAUAUCCAAACUGUGGGAGUCUAAAACCUAAUCUAGUUGGUAAUAUAGGGAAGGAAAAAUAUCUUUCCUCUUCCCUGCUUAAGUUCUCAGCUGGGUCUCCGUAACAAAAGACAGAUUAACAAGAGAAAAGCUUACAAGUUUAUUUAAUAUAAGUUUAUGAAACCUAGAAAUCUUCAUAAGGAAAUGAAGACCUCAAAGAAAUGGUUAGACUUGAGCAUUUUUAUGCUGGUUUGAUGAAGAGGAGGACAUCAUGGGAAAAUAUGACAGGGUAAAGAAUCUGAGCUAAGGGUAGUAAACUGGGGGAAACUUAGCAAGGCAUUCCUUCAGAUUUCUCUGAGUCUCUCUGUCUUGGGAGGUAAGAAUGCUCCUCUCCUCUGGGAAUAGGGAAGACACUUUCUUUUCUUUUCUUUUUUUAAUAAAGAUUUUAUUUAUUUAUUUGUCAGAGAGAGCGAGUGAGAGCAAGCACAAACAAGCACAAGCAGGGGGAGCAGCAGGCAGAGGGAGAAGCAGGCUCCCCACUGAGCAAGGAGCCCAAUACUGGACUAGAUCCCAAUGACCUGAGCCAAAGGCAGACACUUAACCGACUGAGCCACCCAGGUGCCCACGUGAGGGUAUGACGUGCUUCAGAGGAAGAGAGACAGCCAGCAGAUAGGGAACACACGCAGGGGAAGUGGGAGAGAAAGAAGCAGGCUUCCAGCGGAGGAGCCCGAUGUGGGGCUCGAUCCCAUAACGCCGGGAUCACGCCCUGAGCUGAAGGCAGACGCUCAACCGCUGUGCCACCCAGGCGCCCCGAGGGACACUAGUUUUUAAAGCGCGACACCACAGCCUCUGCCUAAAAAAUACAGGAUACAUCAACAUCAUCAAAAUCAACAUCACAAUAGUCCCAACUCACAGGAAAGCAACAGUCAGAAAAAUCAGAAAACUUUAAAUGGGAUAUCUCAUCACAGAGGAAUUUCUUCACAAAAAUAAAAAUGGAAAUGAGA